UACGUAGGGGGCAAGCGUUGUCCGGAAUCAUUGGGCGUAAAGCGCGUGUAGGCGGCCAGAAAAGUCCGCUGUGAAAACUCGAGGCUCAACUUCGAGCUGUCGGUGGAAACUUUCUGGCUAGAGUCCGGAAGAGGAGAAUGGAAUUCCUGGUGUAGCGGUGAAAUGCGCAGAUAUCAGGAAGAACACCAGUGGCGAAAGCGGCUUCCUGGUCCAGUACCGACGUUCAGGCACGAAAGCGUGGGGAGCAAACAGG
rnacentral:rRNA from 1 species